CAGGUCCCUGGAUGAGAAGGAGCUGACAGCAGCCGAGCCCCACCUUCUCUGUGUGCUGGGGAGCGGGGCUGCGCCGCCCUGGUGGCCCAAUGCCGAAGAACAGCAAGGUGACUCAGCGCGAGCACAGCAGUGAGCAUGUCACGGAGUCGGUGGCCGACCUGCUGGCCCUUGAGGAGCCCGUGGACUAUAAACAGAGUGUCCUGAACGUGGCCGGCGAGGCAGGUGGCAAGCAGAAGGCGGCGGAGGAGGAGCUGGAUGCGGAGGACAGGCCGGCCUGGAACAGCAAGCUGCAGUACAUUCUGGCCCAGAUCGGCUUCUCCGUGGGCCUCGGCAACAUCUGGAGGUUCCCCUACCUGUGCCAGAAAAAUGGAGGCGGUGCCUACCUGGUGCCCUACCUGGUGCUGCUGAUCAUCAUUGGGAUCCCGCUCUUCUUCCUGGAGCUGGCUGUGGGCCAGAGGAUCCGCCGCGGCAGCAUCGGCGUGUGGCACUACGUGUGCCCCCGCCUGGGUGGCAUCGGCUUCUCCAGCUGCAUAGUCUGCCUCUUUGUGGGGCUGUAUUAUAAUGUGAUCAUCGGGUGGAGCAUCUUCUACUUCUUCAAGUCCUUCCAGUACCCGCUGCCCUGGAGUGAGUGCCCUGUCAUCAGGAAUGGGACCGUGGCAGUGGUGGAGCCAGAGUGUGAGAAGAGCUCAGCCACUACCUACUUCUGGUACCGAGAGGCCUUGGACAUCUCCAACUCCAUCUCGGAGAGCGGGGGCCUCAACUGGAAGAUGACCCUGUGCCUCCUCGUGGCCUGGAGCAUCGUGGGCAUGGCUGUGGUCAAGGGCAUCCAGUCCUCAGGGAAGGUGAUGUAUUUCAGCUCCCUCUUCCCCUACGUGGUGCUGGCCUGCUUCCUGGUCCGGGGGCUGCUGCUGCGAGGGGCCAUUGACGGCAUCCUCCACAUGUUCACGCCCAAGCUGGACAAGAUGCUGGACCCCCAGGUGUGGCGGGAGGCGGCCACCCAGGUCUUCUUCGCCCUGGGGCUGGGCUUCGGGGGCGUCAUCGCCUUCUCCAGCUACAACAAGCAGGACAACAACUGCCACUUCGACGCCGCCCUGGUGUCCUUCAUCAACUUCUUCACCUCGGUGCUGGCCACCCUCGUGGUGUUCGCCGUGCUGGGCUUCAAGGCCAACAUCAUGAACGAGAAGUGUGUGGUCGAGAACGCCGAGAAGAUCCUGGGGUACCUCAACACCGACGUCCUGAGCCGGGCCCUCAUCCCUCCGCACGUCAACUUCUCCCACCUGAGCGCCAGGGACUACGCCGAGAUGUACAAAGUCAUCAGGACCGUGAAGGAGGACCGUUUCCCCGCCCUGGGCCUCGACCCCUGCCUUCUGGAGGACGAGCUGGACAAGUCCGUGCAGGGCACAGGCCUGGCCUUCAUCGCCUUCACCGAGGCCAUGACGCACUUCCCCGCCUCCCCGUUCUGGUCGGUCAUGUUCUUCCUGAUGCUCAUCAACCUGGGCCUGGGCAGCAUGAUCGGGACCAUGGCGGGCAUCACCACGCCCAUCAUCGACACCUUCAAGGUGCCCAAGGAGAUGUUCACAGUGGGCUGCUGUGUCUUUGCAUUCUUCGUGGGGCUGUUGUUCGUCCAGCGCUCCGGAAACUACUUUGUCACCAUGUUUGAUGACUACUCGGCCACCCUGCCGCUCACCCUCAUUGUCAUCCUUGAGAACGUCGCGGUGGCCUGGAUCUAUGGAACCAAGAAGUUCAUGCAGGAGCUGACAGAGAUGCUGGGCUUCCGGCCCUACCGCUUCUAUUUCUACAUGUGGAAGUUCGUGUCUCCACUGUGCAUGGCUGUGCUCACCACGGCCAGCAUCAUCCAGCUGGGGGUUACGCCCCCGGGCUACAGCGCCUGGAUCAAGGAGGAGGCUGCCGAGCGCUACCUGUACUUCCCUAACUGGGCCAUGGCGCUCCUGAUCACGCUCAUCGUCCUGGCCGUGCUGCCCAUCCCCGUGGGCUUCGUCCUGCGGCACUUCCACCUGCUCUCCGACGGCUCCAACACCCUCUCCGUGUCCUACAAGAAGGGCCGCAUGAUGAAGGAGAUCUCCAACCUGGAGGAGAACGACGAGACCCGCUUCAUCCUCAGCAAGGUGCCCAGCGAGGCGCCCUCCCCCAUGCCCACCCACCGCUCCUACCUGGGGCCUGGCAGCACAUCGCCCCUGGAGACCAGCGGCAACCCCAACGGACGCUACGGGAGCGGCUACCUCCUGGCCAGCACCCCCGAGUCAGAGCUGUGACCACCGCCCCGCCCUGCCUGCCUCGUCCCCCGCUCCCCGCCAGCCGGCCCGCCUGUCCCAGCCUGGCCUCUCCUUCCGGGCCAGGCCCUCCGCCCAAGGGGAGGGGGCUGCCCUGCCUCAUCCCCCACCCCGGUCCUGGCCCAUUUCUGCCCCCUCAAUCUGAGUGGGUGCUGGGAGAAGCUCUGGCCCCCAGUCUAGGCCCCCAAUGCAGCUAACCUUCUGAGAGCCUCGUACCAAAUUGCAGCUGAGUAGCUGGAACCAUCUAGAAAUCCCGAUUCCCAGCACAACACAGGGCCACUCUAGGGGUCACUCCGCUCUCCCUUUCUCCCUGGCACCUGGCACCUGCAGUUCUGCGGUCUCAGGGCCCUUUAGGUCUGUGCUGCCAGGCAGGGGUGGUGCUGGGAGGUACCGGGGUGGGUUGGAUAGCCGUGUCUCAUCCUGACUUAGGGGUGGGUCAGAUGUGCCAGGACUCAGGGCUCAGACUUGGGACGGCGUCUGCACAAGUCCCCAAGUUCUGUUUGGUGAGGCAGGUGGGGCCCUCUGGUUUGAGCAGCAGCCUGGGCCGCAGGGGUGGGGGAGCUGAGGGGGCUCCUCUGGCCCCAGCUCUGGGGGGAACCCCCAAGUCCUUGGCCCUGCCUUGGGUGGGUGGGACGGCUUCUCCUGCCCUCUCCCUCCACCUGCCUCCUGGAGCCCUGGGUGGCAGCCCUGCCUCCCUCCUCAAGAGCGGGGAGGCACAGCACAUGGAGGGCACACCUGAUGGUUCCCAGCACAAUUCAGAUGGUUCGGAGCACAGCUGUGAAGCACACACCCCUUCCCCUCUUGCCUGGGGCCCGACUUUCUCACUAGUGGCAGCUUCUCCCCCAGAACAGCGGUCCCUGGACGUCAGGGGCUCACACCCGGGGAAAGAGAUGAUUUCACUGCCCCUUUGGGCCACCACCCCCUCCUUGUACAAGCACAGCCCCCCCCCCCGUGUGCACAUCAUGUGGGGACACCUCGGAAGCCUUUCCCAAGCUGCCUGGCCUGUGGCAGGGAGGGCCACGGACAGUGCUGUGGACACUGCAAGCUGCCAGGGGACGGGCCAGCCCUCUGUCCUGGGGCUCAGUCCCACACGUGCUGACCCAACUUACCUUCCCCUUCCCCAGAAGGGGGCUUCCCUUGGAGUAUAGACUCAGAGGAGCAGAACCUGACCGGGGAGCAGAAGUCUGCAGAGCAAUAGAUAGAAGAAUGGAAGGAUGGAUGGAUGGAUGGAUGGAUGGAUGGAUGGAUGGAUGGGUGGAUGGAUGGAUAGAUGGAGGGAGGGAAGGAUGGAUGGAUAGAUGGAGGGAAGGAUGGAUGAAUGGAGGAGGGAAGGAUGGAUGAAUGAAUGGGAGGGAGGAAGGAAUUCUGGCUGGGACAGCAAAUCUCCAUCUUUGAGAGCUAUGGUGGGCAGGGCAGGGCGGGCCACAGUGCUUGGCCUGGCUCCCUUCGCAGAGGGUCCUGACUCACUCUGUGCCUCUGACUGCUCUCAGCCUGGGAGGGACAGACUAGGCCCAGGGCGCCGUCCUUCACCCCUUAGUCUCUUGGUUCCUCCCCCUCCUUGGAGUCCACCCAGCACCUCCCUUACCCGUCCCCCCACCCUGUGCUCCCAUUUGCAGCCCUCUCAGCCACACCCAUCCUUCCUGCGUGUGUGAGGGGAGAGGGAGACCCACAUCUCCCCAAAAACGUGAGCUUUGGGGGCACAACAUCCCCCCUUAGGCCUCCUCACCUGACACCACCUGCUCCCUGGCCCCGUGCCUGAUCCCAAGCAGAAAUAGCAACAGGAAGCACAGGGCGCCGGGAGAGACACUGGACUAAAUAUACUCUUCUGUGUAUUCUUUCUAUUGUAUAUUCAAUCUGUACAUGUGGGUGUAAAUGCUGGUAAAUGACAAACCCAAUAUUAUACUGUGGCUGGUGGACUAUUUUCAUCCUCAGUGCUGUACAGAUCUAUUUUCAUUGUAUAUUUGAGAUAUUUUUAAUUUUGUAGCGUGUCGCUGGCCCAGGCCCCAGCCUGCCAGCCUGAGACAGGGUGACUGAGCCGGGCAUCUUCUCCGUCCUCGUGGGCUGGGUAGUGCUUGUAGCCACUGCUGUGAGCAGGGCCCUAUCCUGCUGUGUCUGCUGUUAACUGUAGGGCCUGGAGCUUGGCAUGCGUGUGUGCGUGUGUGUGUGUGUGUGUGUGCAUACGUGGGUGUGGGUGUGUGUAGGAUGCUAAUUUGUGUUUCCCAGCGUUCACCACAACCCUGAAGACCACGCCGCCGCCGCCUCCUGCCCCUCCUCUCAGCUCCAUCAGGCGAGGUCGCAGGGCAGGGUCCCGUGGGAAGUGCCCUCUGUGGGAAAGGCACACGCUUCUGACGGGUGACACAUUGCCUUCACACCAGCGGGCUUGCCCGAAACGGGGAAGGGAGGUCUUGGGGGCAUGGGGGAGGUCCUUAAAUUUCUUUCCCAGCCAGCCUCUUGCUGUGCCCACUGGAGGCACAAGCUCUUCACUCCCAGGGUAAGCGCUGGGUUUCUUAAGAGGACGAGACCCCAAGAGGGCAUCGGCUUACGGGGCCCCUGUCCUGUGUGUGUCCUUGACACAUCGCUGGCAGUGUUCAGAGGGAACAGUGGGGCAUCUGACCAGGUCAGACCAGCCCCAGAGCCCCCGCAGGAGCAGGAGGUGGCCAGAGGGGCAGGCCCCUAUGCUCCUGCACAGGGUCUCCACCCCAAUGACUUUGGUGCUGUCCUUGCAGUGCCCACAGGGGACAGAGCGGACCCAGGGCAGAGCAGGGCAGGGCUGUACCGGAAAGAGUCCCUGGUCCUGCCUCUGCUUGCCCUCCAGCCCCAGUCACCAGCUUCUUGCUCAGGGAGCCCUCUCUGCUGAGGCAGCUUGCAGCCGAGGCCCAGAUGGGGUGAGCCGGUGGGCACACAGGCUGGUGCCAGCCAGGUUGGCUUUUGCCCUCAAGCAGUAAGUCUGUGGGGGCUGCUGCUCUUCUAGUGCCCGGAGAAGCCCUCCUGAGUCAGUCUGCCACUGGCCACGUGGCUGGCAGGGGGCGGAAGCCGCAUGGGCCCAGGCCUGAGCGGGCUGCCGCGUUAUGAUGGGCAGGGGGCGGCCCUCUGCCCAUCCUCACUGCACCUCUCCCUCCCCGCCAGAGCACAGGUUGGAAUGCACGCGACUCCCUGAGCCCUGAACCUGGGGGCCCACUGCCCCUUCACUGGAGCCUAGUGACUGGAGGGGAGGGGGAAGGGUCUGGGGUCCCCGCUCAUCCCAGCCCUGCUUUGUACAGACCCAAGCGCACCUGGCAGACGUCACUUUAGGUUCUGGCACCAGCUCAGAACAAUUCCAGUCCACGUGCCCCACACUAGACAAGAGUCCUGGGUCAUGACCGCUCAGCCCAGGGGAGGGAACAAGGCAUUGUCACCCCUGGAGACCCUCUUUCCUCUCUUUCCUCCCAUGGUGUACAAUAAAGCAUCUGUUCU
rnacentral:lncRNA from 1 species